rnacentral:rRNA from 1 species
CGCCUGGGGAGUACGGCCGCAAGGUUAAAACUCAAAUGAAUUGACGGGGGCCCGCACAAGCGGUGGAGCAUGUGGUUUAAUUCGACGCAACGCGAAGAACCUUACCUGGCCUUGACAUCCAGAGAACUUUCCAGAGAUGGAUUGGUGCCUUCGGGAACUCUGAGACAGGUGCUGCAUGGCCGUCGUCAGCUCGUGUCGUGAGAUGUUGGGUUAAGUCCCGUAACGAGCGCAACCCCUAUCCCUGGUUGCUAGCAGGUAAUGCUGAGAACUCCAGGGAGACUGCCGGUGACAAACCGGAGGAAGGUGGGGAUGACGUCAGGUCAUCAUGGCCCUUACGGCCAGGGCUACACACGUGCUACAAUGGCGCGUACAGAGGGCUGCCAACUCACGAGAGUGAGCCAAUCCCUUAAAACGCGUCGUAGUCCGGAUCGGAGUCUGCAACUCGACUCCGUGAAGUCGGAAUCGCUAGUAAUCGCGAAUCAGAAUGUCGCGGUGAAUACGUUCCCGGGCCUUGUACACACCGCCCGUCACACCAUGGGAGUGGAUUGCACCAGAAGUAGUUAGUCUAACCUUCGGGAGGACGAUUACCACGGUGUGGUUCAUGACUGGGGUGAAGUCGUAACAAGGUAACCGUA